CUUGGAUGGACCUGCGGUGCAUUAGCUAUUGGUAGGGUAACGGACCGUCCAAGGCGAUGAUGCAUAGCCGAGUUGAGAGACUGAUCGGCCACAUUGGGACUGAGACACGGCCCAAACUCCUACGGGAGGCAGCAGUAGGGAAUCUUCCACAAUGGACGCAAGUCUGAUGGAGCAACGCCGCGUGAGUGAAGAAGGGUUUCGGCUCGUAAAGCUCUGUUGUUGGUGAAGAAGGACAGGGGUAGUAACUGACCUUUGUUUGACGGUAAUCAAUUAGAAAGUCACGGCUAACUACGUGCCAGCAGCCGCGGUAAAU
rnacentral:rRNA from 1 species